rnacentral:rRNA from 1 species
AUUGAACGCUGGCGGCAUGCCUUACACAUGCAAGUCGAACGGCAGCACGGGGCAACCUGGUGGCGAGUGGCGAACGGGUGAGUAAUGCAUCGGAACGUACCUUUCAGUGGGGGAUAACGUAGCGAAAGUUACGCUAAUACCGCAUAUUCUGUGAGCAGGAAAGCAGGGGAUCGCAAGACCUUGCGCUGAUUGAGCGGCCGAUGUCAGAUUAGCUAGUUGGUGAGGUAAAGGCUCACCAAGGCGACGAUCUGUAGCGGGUCUGAGAGGAUGAUCCGCCACACUGGAACUGAGACACGGUCCAGACUCCUACGGGAGGCAGCAGUGGGGAAUUUUGGACAAUGGGGGCAACCCUGAUCCAGCCAUGCCGCGUGAGUGAAGAAGGCCUUCGGGUUGUAAAGCUCUUUCGGCCGGGAAGAAAUCGCAUGGGCUAAUACCUGUGUGGAUGACGGUACCGGAAUAAGAAGCACCGGCUAACUACGUGCCAGCCGCCGCAGUAA